CUUAACUCUGAUUACCAAAUCCAUCUGAGAGCGUCUCUUGGAAUGACAAGAGAGAAGUCAAGCAGUGAUUUUUGCUCCAUGGAGGCGGAAAAGGCGGCAAAUUCUUGAUCAGAGCCUGGUACCUAGCACAGUGCCUGACGUACAGAACAAGUUGAAGUGAAUACUUGAAUGAACGCAUGAAUGAAAACCAAAGCUGAACUACAUGCUAAAUCAUUGGCUAAGUUUUCUCACCAGCCAAGUGACUUGUUCUAAUACAACGGCCUCCCAGUUCCGUUCAGACUAUCCAAAAUCAUACCUCAGGAAAAGGAAAGUGGAACAAUUGAUGCUCUAGCUGAUUCAGACAACAAGAAUUAUGAGUAAAUUUAAAGGUCUCAGAGUAUAAUGUGACUUUUUAAUAACAUCUCAGCAAACUUGCAUUUCUUGCUAACAUUUCAUCUGCAUGUAAAGAUUAUCUUGCACAUAGGGCCUUAUGAUAAUAAACCGAAUGCAGAAUAACCUAUUUUGAACAGAUGAUAAAAUUUUUCUAAAAAAAGGGUUUUGUGAAUAUAAUUGUUUGAGAGAGAACCACAUACUGUAAUUCAAAGUUAUAGUGGUGAUACGUCUGCACUGGAAUGAGGUCAAAGUUCACAUAUUCAUAAGAUUCCACGUACUGAAAGGCUAGUUUAAAAGCUGCUGAAAAAUAUGGAUUUUAAAAUAAUUUAUUUUUAUACAUUUUGAUCUAUGAACUGUGAUUUCUAACACCAUAGGGUAGUGAGAGAUUGGAUUAGGA
rnacentral:lncRNA from 10 species